CCUACGGGAGGCAGCAGUGGGGGAUAUUGCACAAUGGGGGGAACCCUGAUGCAGCGACGCCGCGUGAGCGAGGGAGGACUGCGGUAUGUAAAGCUCUGUCAGCAGGGAAGAAAAGGACGGUACCUGACCAAGAAGCCCCGGCGAAAUACGGGCCAGCAGCCGCGGUAAUACGUAUGGGGCAAGCGUUAUCCGGAUUUACUGGGUGUAAAGGGAGCGUAGGCGGCAGGGCAAGCCUGAUGUGAAAGCCCGGGGCUCAACCCCGGGACUGCCUUCGGAACUGCCCUGCUGGAGUGCCGGAGGGGCAGGCGGAAUUCCUCGUGUAGCGGUGACAUGCGUAGCUCUUAGGCGGAACACCAGUGGCGAAGGCGGCCUGCUGGACGGUGACUGCCGCUGAGGCUC
rnacentral:rRNA from 1 species